GGAGACGUAUCGAAGUGGUCAUAACGGGGCUGACUCGAAAUCAGUUUACGGUGGUAACAUCGUACGUGGGUUCGAAUCCCACCGUCUCCG
rnacentral:tRNA from 1 species